rnacentral:rRNA from 1 species
UACGUAGGGCGCAAGCGUUAUCCGGAAUUAUUGGGCGUAAAGAGCUCGUAGGCGGUUUGUCGCGUCUGCCGUGAAAGUCCGGGGCUCAACUCCGGAUCUGCGGUGGGUACGGGCAGACUAGAGUGUGGUAGGGGAGACUGGAAUUCCUGGUGUAGCGGUGGAAUGCGCAGAUAUCAGGAGGAACACCGAUGGCGAAGGCAGGUCUCUGGGCCACUACUGACGCUGAGAAGCGAAAGCAUGGGGAGCGAACAGG